GGAGCUGUCCCCCACUUUGUGACUUUCCACUUUAUUUUAUUUUAUUUUUUUGUUUCAUAUGUUGGUAUUAGAUGGCGAGGCAUGCCUAAAAAUUUAGGAGGGCGAUACAAUAAUUACUGCUUGUGUAUCAAUGUGUCCAUAAUUUAUUUUUGCAAACGGGCUUUAGAGAUUACCCUCUUAGCAUAUCAUGGUACUGUUGCCAAUAAAUACCUUUAUCUAAUGCACUUUGACCUUGGAACCUAGGCAUUUUACACAAAUUCUUUUGAGAGUCUAUCUUUAAUCACAAAAAUACUUACGUAGAGAUAUUACUCCACUGAGUCACUGAGAGGUUACUCCACUGGCAUAAAAAUGUCAUUGUUGACUGCAGGCAUCAUAGAACACUAGGGGGCGCUACAGAGUAAGGAAGGAAAGGACAUAGCCUUCUAGAAUUCUGAGAGGUUAGAGAAUCCUCACAAAAUGUUCAGAACGAUUAGCAUAUGUAGAGUUAUAGGUUAGUAAGUGCUAAAUUGUUUUUAAAUUCCACCAUGUCAGAAUGUAACCCAGCUGACUAAGAUAAAGAAACCAAGGUGCAGAGUGGUAUCGGUGAGGGAUUUUGAUGGUUGGAAGCCAAUCUCAGCAAGCGAUGAGGAUAGAACAGUAAAAGGCCACCACAGGAUGGAGAGAAAGUGCCACUAUCAUGAGAUACUGUGCACAGGUACGACUUCCCUGAAGAGAGGCCACGGCAAACCAACAGCCCUGUUUCCUCACAAAGGAAGGUUGGUUCCUAUGAGGUUGCUGCUCUUUCUCCUCAGGAGCCACGCCAGCAAAACCCAGGAACCAACUGAAUGACUGAGCAACGGAAAAUCAGCUGUGCACGUGUCCCUGUUGUCAGCAGGAGACACACAACUGAAUCUUAGAUCACUGCUGCUCACCCUUCGAACAUGGUUGGGACUUCCACAAUGUGGCUAAGCAUGGCUCUCUGACAAGAAGCUAACCAGAUAUCUGGGAAGGGUAAUAUAAUUUACAACAAUCUGCUGCAUCAGCAAAGAUGACUUAGCAUGAGGCCAGCCGAAGAUGUCAACAUCAGUAUAAACAACUAAACAUCUUUAAAAAAAGAAAGAAAGAAAGAAAGAAAAAGAAAGAAAGAAAGAAAGAAAGAAAGAGAAGGAAGAAAGGAAGGAAGGAAAGAAGGAAGAAAAAAAAACUAAACAUCUUCUACAACAUUGAAAUAGCAUGAAUGGUGCCCAGUUCUUGUAAUGAUUUCUCCAAGUACUCUAGGUCAAUAUCAAAAUUCCUACUCACUGAAGAUCAGCGUCAUGGCUAUACAUGGCCCCAUCCUAGGAUACUCAGAUUCGUGAGUGUCCACCUUUCCUCUCCCAUCACACACAGCUGCCCACCUCCAUUAUGCUAUCCUCUGCUGAUUUUGUGAUGACCCAUGAUCCAGAACAGAUAGAUAGUGAAAAGUGUCUGACAGAGGUGACACAGCCUAUGCUCUGGAAAAAGGAGAAAACUGACCUCUUGUGGGGAAAGGCUAACAGUAAAGUCCGUAAAUAGA